UACGUAGGGUGCGAGCGUUAAUCGGAAUUACUGGGCGUAAAGCGUGCGCAGGCGGCGCGUUAAGACAGGUGUGAAAGCCCCGAGCUUAACUUGGGAAUUGCGCUUGUGACUGGCGUGCUGGAGUGUGGCAGAGGGAGGUGGAAUUCCACGUGUAGCAGUGAAAUGCGUAGAGAUGUGGAGGAACACCGAUGGCGAAGGCAGCCUCCUGGGCCAGCACGUGACGCUCAUGCACGAAAGCGUGGGGAGCAAACAGG
rnacentral:rRNA from 1 species